AUGGACCGGCGGCGGCUCUGGACGUGGGCAGCUGCCGUCGUCGUCGCUGCUGCUGCUGCGGCUGCGGCGGCGGCGGGCCAUGAGAAGAGGCUGGUGGUGGGCAUGACUCUCGUCCCGGGCGCCGCGUCCACGGGGGCAGUGUGCCUCGACGGGAGCCCGCCGGCGUACCACCUCCACCGCGGCUCCGGCGCGGGCGCCCGCGGCUGGCUGCUCCAGUUCGAGGGCGGCGGCUGGUGCAACGACGCGCCGUCCUGCGCCGCACGAGCCGGCACGCGGCGAGGCUCCACCCGGCUCAUGAGCAAGCUCGAGGUCUUCUCCGGCGUGCUCAGCAACGAUCCGGCCAGGAACCCAGAUUUUUACAACUGGAAUCGGGUGAAGCUGCGGUACUGCGACGGCGGAUCCUUCGCGGGCGAUUCGGAGUUCACAAAUGGCUCUUCAGUCAUCUACAUGAGAGGUCAGAGGAUAUGGGAUGCUAUCAUCGCCGAUCUCCUCACCAAAGGCCUCGCCAAAGCCAAAAAGGUGCUGCUCUCAGGAUGCUCAGCAGGAGGCCUAGCUACAUUCUUCCACUGCGACGACCUCGGGGAGCUUCUCGGGGGCGUCGCCACAGUGAAAUGCAUGAGCGACGCGGGGUUUUUCCUUGAUGUGGAUGACAUUUCCGGCAACAACAGCAUUAGACCUUUCUUUAGCAGCCUAGUUGCUCUGCAGGGAGCUGAGAAGAAUUUGAACAAAGACUGUCUAAAUUCAACACUCAGUCCUUAUCUGUGUUUUUUCCCUCAAUAUGCACUUCAAAACAUUAAAACCCCAUAUUUCAUCUUAAAUUCAGCGUACGAUGUAUAUCAGUUCCAUCACAUCUUUGUGCCUCCUUCGUCUGAUCCUAGGGGUCACUGGAGUCGCUGUAAGGCGGACCCCAGUGCAUGCAGCACAUCACAAAUUGCAACUCUCCAAGGCCUAAGAAGUGCAAUGUUAACAGCACUCAAACCGUUUGAAGGUGAGCCGGAGAUGGGCAUGUUCAUCAAUUCUUGCUUUGCACAUUGCCAGAGCGAGCUGCAGGACACAUGGUUUGCGCCGAAUUCCCCAACACUGGACAAUGAGACAAUUGCAGAGCUAGUCGGUGAUUGGUACUUUGAAAGGGGUGCUGCCCAAGAAAUCGACUGCGCAUAUCCCUGCGACUCAACUUGUCACAACAUUAUACCAUCUAAUCAGGUCGGCAUCUAG
rnacentral:rRNA from 1 species